rnacentral:rRNA from 1 species
AAAAUCCGCGCGGCUUAGCUGAGGCAUGAUAACGAGGGCCCUCGGGCCCGAAGCAACUGAUACCCUGCUUCCAGGAAAAGCCUCUAAGCUUCAGUCAUAGAGUGACCGUACCGCAAACCGACACAGGUGGGCUGGUAGAGAAUACCAAGGCGCUUGAGAGAACUCAGGAGAAGGAACUCGGCAAAUUGAUACCGUAACUUCGGGAGAAGGUAUGCCCCGUUAGCUUGUAGGAGUACAUCCGAAGGGCGAAGGGGCCGCAGAGAAUCGGUGGCUGCGACUGUUUAUUAAAAACACAGCACUGUGCAAACACGAAAGUGGACGUAUACGGUGUGACGCCUGCCCGGUGCCGGAAGGUUAAGUGAUGGGGUGCAAGCUCUUGAUCGAAGCCCCGGUAAACGGCGGCCGUAACUAUAACGGUCCUAAGGUAGCGAAAUUCCUUGUCGGGUAAGUUCCGACCUGCACGAAUGGCGUAACGAUGGCCACACUGUCUCCUCCUGAGACUCAGCGAAGUUGAAAUGUUUGUGAAGAUGCAAUCUACCCGCGGCUAGACGGAAAGACCCCAUGAACCUUUACUGUAGCUUUGCAUUGGACUUUGACGGGAUUUGUGUAGGAUAGGUGGGAGGCUAUGAAACCAGGACGCUAGUUCGGGUGGAGCCAACCUUGAAAUACCACCCUGGUGUCGUCGAGGUUCUAACCCAGGUCUGUGAAUCCAGAUCGGGGACCGUGCAUGGUGGGCAGUUUGACUGGGGCGGUCUCCUCCUAAAGCGUAACGGAGGAGUACGAAGGUCACCUAGGUACGGUCGGUCAUCGUACUGAUAGUGCAAUGGCAAAAGGUGGCUUGACUGCGAGACCCACAAGUCGAGCAGGUGCGAAAGCAGGUCAUAGUGAUCCGGUGGUUCUGUAUGGAAGGGCCAUCGCUCAACGGAUAAAAGGUACUCUGGGGAUAACAGGCUGAUUCCGCCCAAGAGUUCACAUCGACGGCGGAGUUUGGCACCUCGAUGUCGGCUCAUCACAUCCUGGGGCUGUAGCCGGUCCCAAGGGUAUGGCUGUUCGCCAUUUAAAGUGGUACGUGGGCUGGGUUUAAAACGUCGUGAGACAGUUUGGUCCCUAUCUGCCGUGGGCGCUGGAAGUUUGAGAGGGCUUGCUCCUAGUACGAGAGGACCGGAGUGAACGCACCCCUGGUGUACCGGUUGUGACGCCAGUCGCAUCGCCGGGUAGCUAUGUGCGGAAGAGAUAACCGCUGAAAGCAUCUAAGCGGGAAACUCGCCUCAAGAUGAGACUUCCCCGGGGCCUCGAGCCCCCUGAAGGGUCGUUGAAGACCACAACGUUGAUAGGUCGGGUGUGGAAGCGUGGCAACACGUUAAGCUAACCGAUACUAAUUGCCCGUGUGGCUUGAUC